rnacentral:rRNA from 1 species
CAAUACACAAGAUGUCCGCCAGAAAAUUACGAGCGAAAAGCUUAAAACUCAAAGGACUUGGCGGUGCCCCACACCCGACUUAGAGGAGCCUGUCCUAUAAUCGAUACUCCACGCUAAACCUCACCAUUCAUUGCCUAGACAGCCUAUAUACCGCCGUCGCCAACUUACCCUCUGAAGGUAAAACAGUAAGUACAACAGUUUAUUAACUAAAACGUCAGGUCAAGGUGUAGCUUAUAGAAUGGAAGAGAUGGGCUACAUUUUUUAUAACAAAACAUACGGCAUGGAACUGUGAAACCAGUUCUUAAAGGAGGAUUUAAUAGUAAAAUUAAUAAGAAAAUUAAUUU